ensembl:lncRNA
AUUUAAUUCAAGCCUAACUCAGCCCCUAGUUCUCCCCACUUAAUGGCUGCUCAGAGGCCUGUGUAAACUUGUUCACUGGUCUCGGUCCAGUCAUUGGUGGCCAACUGUCCAUGACCAACGGCCCAUUGUUUGCCUGGGAGGCACCGACUGCUGACAUGUGUGUUUCGUGCUCCUCUCCUGAUAAUGAGCUCAGGUUUUUUCUUUUAUGCCAAACAAAAUGGUCUCUUCAUUGUUGAAAGGGCUGGUAAAUGCCAAGAGAAUUCUCCUGCUGUAAAUGACAUUUUUGCUCUACCACUUCUUUUCAUCCAACUGAGGUGCAGGAGAGGACAUAAGCUGGCAUUUACAUCCUCGGAUGAGUCAUCAGAUUACGAAAGAUCUUCCAAGCAGCUGCUCAUGUGAAGUCACAGUCACAAAGAAUUGGAUUAGAGUCGAUUGUAUGGUUUCAGGAUGAGAAAACAACUUGCUGGUUUAAUUCAAUUUCUCCCCCUUCCCCUCGUUUAUCAUUAAGUUUUAUCACAAGUCCCUCAAAAUGGGGGUGGGACCACAUUUAAUCUUUCAGCUGACCAUUUCUUUACAAUUCCUUCAAGCCUUAACAAUUUCCCAUUAUGUCAUUCAUACCAAGAUAAAUGAAGGCGGAUAACAAGCCAACUGGGUCUGAGGCGUCCAGGAGGUGACAGGGGUGGGAAGAGAGAUGGAAACGAAUAAUGUUGAACGCAAAGACUAACCUAUAGGCCUUGUCUCAGAUUUAACAACCAGUCACUAUGAUUUACAAUCCAAGAUCUCAUUCUUUGCAUCUUAUAUCCCCGAGACAUGAAGAAUGGAAGGAAUGAAAGUGUCACCUAUUUCUUACACGGAUGACUUAUAGGUUUUUAAGGAGGUUCUCUUGGACAUCA